UACGUAGGCGUCGAGCGUUGUCCGGAUUUAUUGGGCGUAAAGAGCCCGCAGGCGGCUUGGCAAGUUUGAGGUGAAAUCUCCCGGCUUAACUGGGAGGGGGCCUCGAAAACUGCCAGGCUUGAGGCAUGGAGAGGGAUGCGGAAUUCCCGGUGUAGUGGUGAAAUGCGUAGAUAUCGGGAGGAACACCAGUGGCGAAGGCGGCAUCCUGGCCAUGUCCUGACGCUCAGGGGCGAAAGCGCGGGGAGCAAACCGG
rnacentral:rRNA from 1 species